rfam:Opisthorchis viverrini opera_v5_279.18, whole genome shotgun sequence.
AACUGAACAACGUAUUCAAGGGAAGUCGACAGCUUCGGGAAAAGGAUUCCUCUGACGACUGAGCAAAAUGGGCUGGAAUCAGGUACGUGUUGGUCCGCUUCAGUGGAUGUGGUUAAUGGAAUUACUGGACUCUGACCAGGCCGAUCAGCGGCAAUUUCAGCUGUAGUUUUGCUUUGCCGGCAGUGUGGAUGGGCAACUGUGUGUGUGUGUUGGCAGCUUUGCUUCCCUCGCUUGGCGCUCAACGGCUCGUUCAGAACUGGCCCGAACCAGGGGAUCCGACUGUCUAAUUAAAGCCAAACAUUGUGAUGCCCGCUGACCGGUUUUGACGCAAUGUGAUUUCUGCCCAAUGCUCUGAAUGUCAAUGUGAAGAAAUUCAAUGAAGCGGGGGUGGGAGGGUUGUUAACGGCGGAAUUAUCUAUGACUCUCUAAAAGUAGCCAAAUGCCUUGUCAUCUAAUUAAUGGCGUACAUGAAUCGAUUAACGAGAUUCCUACUGUCCCUAUCUACUAUCUAGCGAAAUCACAGCCAAGGGAAUGGGCUUGACAGAAUUAGCAGGGGAAGAAGACCCUGCUGAGCUUGACUCUAGUCCGACUUUGCGACAUGACGGGCGUAGAAUAAGUGGGAGAUGGGCUCCGGCUUGUCGCCAGUGAAAUACCACUACCGUCAACGUUCCUUUGCUUAUGCAGUAAAACGGGAACAAUAUUUUGGUCCUAUGCACAUGCCGGCAUGUGUGGUUUCGCUCAGGGUGUCGGUAUCUUGGUCAUACCAGAUGAGUCGUGACUUCGGUCGCGGCGUUUGAGUCUGGAUGCGAUGUGCGAUCCGUUCUGAUGGGGCGGUACAUUUGUCUAAUAGUAACGCAGGUGCCCCAGGGCGAGCUCAGCCAGAAUGGAAACCUAGCAUAGAGUAAAAUGGUAAAGGUCUGAUUUUGCUGUUUGUAGCUUGAAGCAAGAGGCCUCAGAAAAGUCACUACAGGGAUAACUAGCUUGACCGAACCUUCGUAGCAACGUCUUUACGAUCCUUCGGUGUUGGCUCUCCCUGGCGUUGUGGCGCAGGAUCCACCAAGCGUGUGAUUUUCCACCCACUAAUAGGGAACGUGAGUUGGGUUUAGACCAUCGUGAGACAGGUUAGUUUUGUGCUACUAAUCAUUGAGAGACGGCUCUGUGGUUAGAACGCGAAUUUAUUGACCGGAGGGUCCGUGAUCCGAACCCGACCUGUCUCUUGACUUUCCCUAUCUAGGCAUGGGAAACCGGGAAGUAUUUCAAUCCUCGUGCUUCAUUCAGGUAACAUGGCAGCUAGGCACCAAAAGGGUGUUACAGCUAAACGAUCAUCAAUAAUCACUGCAAUGACUUGCAAAACAACUUGGCCUUUGCUUUGGUAAUCCUGUUUAGUACGAAAGGAACCACAGUUAAAUGUGCCUGGCUGUAAGGCGAAUUUUGCGAAGCUAUCAUCUGAAGGAUUAGGACUGAACGCUUCUAAGUCUGAAUCCCGUCCGCAUAGCAACGGUACACUCUGUCCGUGUUACGUGGCUAGCCUUGCUUACGUUUUUCUUUUGACGCUUGGCCCAGGUUAUUUUUGGCCUGGCCCAUGAAGUCUGAUAUAAUGCUAGAUCGAUUACGGAAACCGUAUACCGGACCCCGGUAUGUGAAGGACGACACGAUAUCUAAACGCAGAAUCAGCGUGAAGGCACUAAAUCUUUAAUGGACGAUCUAAUUUUUGUCGGGGAGGCAUAAGUGUCCGAGCGUAUAUCAUACUGCGAGACGUUGACCCGCGUCCCUAUAUGACAUGAUGAUGA